rnacentral:lncRNA from 1 species
CCACGGCUUCAUUCUUGAAGUCAGUGAGACCAAGAACCCACCAAUUCCGGACACAGUGUCAGGCGCCUGUAGUCCCAGCUCCUCGGGAGGCUGAGGCAGGAGAAUGGCGUCAACCUGGGAGGCGGAGCUUGCAGUGAGCCGAGAUCACGCCACUGCACUCCAGCCUGGGCGACUGAGCAAGACUCCGUCUCAAAAGAACAGCAACAACAACAACAACAACAAACCAUAGUCCUUUGUCAGUCUUUAGUCUACUACUUCUGACCUAUUAACAGCUCCUGGCCUUCCAUUUCUAGUUAUCCCAGAAGGACAUACUGGAACACCUUGCAGGUUACACACUUUGAUGGCACUAACUGCAUGUUAGAAUUGUGUGGCAAAGAACUGAAGGCAUCAGUCCAAAAGCCCAAAGAACUAAAUACCGCCAACAACCCCAUGAACUUGGAAGUGGGUCCUUUCCCAGUGAGCUCUGGAGAUGACAAAAGACAGACAACACCUUGAUUGUAGUCUGUGAGAAAACCUGAAGCAGAAGACCCAGCUAACUUGUGCUCAGAUUCCUGACCAAUACAAAUUGUGAGACAAAUGUGUAAUUUUUUAAGCCAAGUUUUUGAUAAUGUAAUAUGAAGUGAUAGAUAACUAAUACAAAAUAGAGAACUGGAUACAUAUGUUCACGAGCUAUUCUGGCAUAAAAAUACAUUCAAUAAAAAACUUGUUGCUACUCUGUA